GAUGAACGCUAGCUACAGGCUUAACACAUGCAAGUCGAGGGACCGGCGUAUGGGUGAUUAACGCGUAUCCAACCUUCCCAUUACUGUGGGAUAACCUGCCGAAAGGCAGACUAAUACCGCAUAGUAAUGGAUGGGGGUGCUUCUGAUUGGGUUGUUGGCGGGGUAACGGCCAGCCAAGGCGACGACCAGUAGGGGUGGGGAGAGGCAGGUCCCCUGCAUUGGAACUAAGACACGGACCAAAAUCGUACGGGGGACUGCGGUGGAGAGCAUGAGUGGAUGGACGGAAGUCUGGACCAGCCAAGUAGAUGGCAGGAUGACGGCGUAGGGGUUGUAAUCUGCUUUUGUAUGGGGAUAGGUACCAUAUGAAUAAGGACCGACUAAUUCCGUGCCAGCAGCCGCGGUAAUAC
rnacentral:rRNA from 1 species